rnacentral:lncRNA from 1 species
UGUAGAUAUUAACGAAUGCAACCUGAAUAUUGAUGAUUGUCAUCAAUUUGCGACAUGUAGCAACACUGUCGGUUCAUUUGAAUGUCGAUGUAAUGCAGGAUACGAAGGAGAUGGCGCGAACUGUCGAGGUAUUCAUUGUUUAAUUAAGAGUUUCGGUCGAGAACUGUUUUCAUUUCUUAGAUAUUCAUUGUUUGUCAUUGGAUUUUCUCUUGAAAACGAAGUGUAUGGGCUUGACUUGUUAUUGUCGUAUCUCAACGCAAACUCGCGCAGUACGUGUUCGGCCGAAUCUAGUUAUUCUUUUUUCUAUUAUGCUUAUUUUAUUAAUAACUUUCACUUAUGUCAAUCAUGCGUACCUGGGGAUUUACAAUAAAGUUAGCUUAACAUCAAGCGUGGGCAUGCAUGCAUGCUAAUGAAUGGAAUGAAAAAUGCUAGAGUUUUGAUUCCCUUGUAUUUGAACAUACUUGAGUACUUCACUUCUUCCAAAUCAGUAAGUGAUGCCAGCUGUCAGCAUAUAAAUAGCAACCAUAUGCACUUUUGGUGUUUCCACUUGGUCUGACGACGCAAGACGCUACUCCCAUUUUUGGCCAACAUCUUAAGUUAUCAAUAAAUUCGUGAGUUAAAGUUCCCUGAUUGCAUUUUAAUUGUUUUAAUUUAUCUGAUUGAUCAUCUGUGACACAUUAUCACUUAGAUGUCGAUGACUGCUUAAAUGAUCUUGACGACUGUGCUGGGGGUAUUGCAACGUGUACUAAUACUCAAGGAUCAUAUACCUGUGCUUGUAACACUGGAUACACUGGAAAUGGACGUCAGUGUGUUGGUA